CCUACGGGAGGCAGCAGUGGGGAAUAUUGGACAAUGGGCGCAAGCCUGAUCCAGCCAUGCCGCGUGGGUGAAGAAGGCCUUGGGGUUGUAAACCCCUUUCAGCGGGGAAGAUAAUGACGGUACCCGCAGAAGAAGUCCCGGCUAACUCCGUGCCAGCAGCCGCGGUAAUACGGAGGGGACUAGCGUUGUUCGGAAUUACUGGGCGUAAAGCGCACGUAGGCGGAUUUGUAAGUCAGGGGUGAAAUCCCGAGGCUCAACCUCGGAACUGCCUUUGAUACUGCAAAUCUCGAGUCCGGAAGAGGUGAGUGGAAUUCCUAGUGUAGAGGUGAAAUUCGUAGAUAUUAGGAAGAACACCAGUGGCGGAGGCGGCUCACUGGUCCGGUACUGACGCUGAGGUGCGAAAGCGUGGGGAGCAAACAGGAUUAGAUACCCCGGUAGUCC
rnacentral:rRNA from 1 species